AUUGAACGCUGGCGGCAUGCCUUACACAUGCAAGUCGAACGGCAGCACGGGUGCUUGCACCUGGUGGCGAGUGGCGAACGGGUGAGUAAUACAUCGGAACAUGUCCUGUAGUGGGGGAUAGCCCGGCGAAAGCCGGAUUAAUACCGCAUACGAUCUACGGAUGAAAUCGGGGGACCUUCGUGCCUCGCGCUAUAGGGUUGGCCGAUGGCUGAUUAGCUAGUUGGUGGGGUAAAGGCCUACCAAGGCGACGAUCAGUAGCUGGUCUGAGAGGACGACCAGCCACACUGGGACUGAGACACGGCCCAGACUCCUACGGGAGGCAGAAGUGGGGAAUUUUGGACAAUGGGCGAAAGCCUGAUCCAGAAAUGCCGCGUGUGUGAAGAAGGCCUUCGGGUUGUAAAGCACUUUUGUCCGGAAAGAAAUCCUUGGCCCUAAUACGGUCGGGGGAUGACGGUACCGGAAGAAUAAGCACCGGCUAACUACGUG
rnacentral:rRNA from 1 species